rnacentral:tRNA from 1 species
GCGGAAGUGGCUCAACGGUAGAGCAUCGCCUUGCCAUGGCGAGGGUUGCGGGUUCAAAUCCCGUCUUCCGCUCCA